rnacentral:lncRNA from 1 species
GCUUUUUGGUUUGAUUAGGUCCCAUUUAUCUAUUUUUGUUUAUGUUGCCUUUGCUUUUCGGUUCUUGGUUAUAAGCCAAUGUUUAGGAGAGAUUAUCUGAUGUUAUCUUCUAGAAUUUUUAUGGUUCCACACCUUAGGUUUAAGUCUUUGAUCCAUCUUGAGUUGAUUUUUGUAUAAGGUGAGAGAUGAGGAUCCAGUUUUAUUCUUCUACAUGUGGCUUACCUAUUAUCGCAGCUCCACUUGUUGAAUAGGGCAUCUUUUCCCCACUUUGUUUUUGUUUGCUUUAUGGAAGAUCAGUUGUCUGUAAGUAUUUGACUUUAUUUCUGGGUUCUCUAUUCUGUUCCAUUGGUCUGUGUGGCUGUUUUUAUACCAAUGCCAUGCUGUUUUGGUCACUAUAGCCUUGUAGUAUAGUUUGAAAUCAGGUAAUGUGAUGCCUCCAGAUGUGUUGUUUUUACUUAGUCUUGCUUUGGCUAUGAGGGCUCUUUUUGUGUUCCAUAUGAAUUUGUGUACAUUGAUUUUGUAUCCUAAAACAACCUCAUCCUUCUUCUAGUAAUAUUGCUCCAGAUAUCUCAUUAAAUUUGAUCAUUGCACAACAUAUGUAUGCCCUGAAACAUAAUAUUUAACCCCAUAAUUGUGUACAAUGAUUAUGUGUCAAUUAAAAAGAAAAAGAAAGGGGCAGGAGUGGUGAUGAGAGAGGAACUGGGCCGGGGCUGACGUUUUGCUGCAGGCAGGGGCAGUGAUACCCUUCAGGCUUUAAGCAAGUGUGUUGUCAUCUCUGUAAGUCGAGCCCCAUGUCUCUUCUAGUGACAUGAAAGACCAGGAAGUGCACUUAGCACCUAGGAACCUGCCAGAUAGUUCAUGUGGGUUUGCAUUUGGGGGCACAGUAUAAAGGCUGGGUCUUUUUAAUGUCUCCACCUCCACCCCCACAAACAGGAUGGCAGAGUUUCAUUCUCCUGCAAGACACAAAUGACCCUACUUUCCUACUUAACCUCCCCCGGGAAACAGCAGGAAAAAGAUCAUGCCCAGUAAGCUGCUUGAAGAAAUGGAUCCAACUUCCACCAACCUGAGGAUCUGAAGAGUUUGUUGGGAAACUCCCCCGCACCGACAACCCCAAGCCUGAUUCUAGCUAUCAGGCGGAUUUAUGCCUUGCAUUGUAUAGAGGUUAAAGACAUAUGCAAAUUCAAGUCUUGGUACUGCUACUGACCUCUCUGGGCUUUAAUGACCACAAGGCAUUAGUGUAUUUUGUGAAUUAACUCUUAUAUACACCACUUUUAUUUACACACUUAGAACAGCGCCCAGCACACAGCUAGAGCUAUGGAAGCAUUUGCGACGAUCAUCAUUGUCAUCAUCAUCAUCAUCAUCAUCGUCAUCAUCAUCAUCAUCAUCGUCAACAUCAUCAUCGCCAUCAUCGUCGUCAUCAUUAUCAUCAUCAUCAUUGCUUCUACUACAAUCAAAGGCUUUUUCAGGAGAGGUUCUAAUGGGUCAUUUACUCUGUGGUGUAAAUUUAAGACACUGGGGGAAUCUGCAAUAACGUCCUAGCCUUAACGGUAAAACAAAAGACAUUGCUUCCAUGUUAAAAUUAUUUCACAGAAAGACAAAUAUCGCAUGUUCUCACUCAUAAGUGGAUGAUAAAUGUGUUCAUGUGGACAUAGAGAAUGGAAUGAGAGAGAAGGGGACUGGGAAGGGUGCCAGGUGGGAGGGGUAAGGAUGAUGAAAAAUCAGUUAAUGGGUACAAUGUAUGUUAUUCAGGUAACAGAUACCCUAAAAGCCCUGACUUGACCACUAUGAAGUCUAUGCACAUAAUUACACAUGUACUCCACAAAUAAAAAUAAGUGAAAAUUUAAUAUCUAUAUGUUUUAGGCUAAAGGGAGGUGAAGGCCCCACAGGGUGAGUUUUCCUGCCUGAAGAAAACUUCCCAGGGGAGCUCUGUCUGCCUGGACCCCAGCACGCAGCAAGCCUGGCCAGCUUUCCCCUACCCACCUCCCCAGUAGAGGAGUCACCCAGAGCCCAUCCUGCUUCAGCCCAGGCACCCGCAGAGCAGGCACUCCUGGGGGAAAGUGAGAGUGAGACAGGCUGGAGUCUCAUCAAUUUCACACUCAGCAGAUCCAGAAGGAGUUUAUUUCAGUAUACGUGUGUACUUUGUGAAAUUGAAGAGGAAAAUAUCUACAUGCAUGUGCACACACACCACACACAAAUAUAUACAAAUACACACACACAUACACACACACAAUUUUGAUCCAGUUCUGAGCAAAUGCAUCUAGAGGAGGAAAAAUGUUUGUGGGCUGAAAAUAGACAAGGGUACCUCCUAUUCUCCCAACAGCUCAGAGUUGAGCAGUGUUAACUUAAAAAUCACAAGAUGUAUAAAUUAGAAAAGGAGGCUUUCUUAUAAAAGGGUACAGCCUACAAGGUGGCUGUCCGCAGGCUGGGAAGCAUAGCCUUUGGCCAAGACCAGAGACAGGCACUCUGAAAGAGAAGGGGUUUGGGACAGGAGCUCUAUGCUGAGCAGGUUGGCCAAACAUACAUAUUCAACAGAUUGCAGGAGAAUCCAUGAAUAUUCAUGAAGGUGGUCCUGAUAUAUGCAUGUGACUAUAUAUGAUGCAUAUUCACUUUGGGGAUGAGACAACAUUUAACUGUAUUAGCCCAUCCAAAGGCCUUUUCAGAACACAAGGCACAUGACUGUAGAACUUCCAAAAACCAGCCAGAACUAGUCCAUGGUCAGCAGUCUCUGAUCGGGAGAAAGUUACUGAAAUCAGCCUCUUAUCUAGUACAGGCUGCAGUUAUGGCUGGUGGGACAGGGGUCAGUUAGCCUGCGUCUGUGAGCUGGGUAACUUGUAACUGUUUUAACAUUGCUUAUCUCCAGGCCAGUGCUUGCUCAGCUGCUGGAGUUUUGAAAAGAAACACCUGUGACAGAGCACAGUUUCUCCUUUAAGUGUGGGAGUGUGGGGCAGGAUCUUAGGUCCAGGUUACAAUUUGGUAUCUAUUGCCACAAAAGUCCAUUCUGCCAGUCUUACGAUCUCUAUUUUAACAUGAACGCUGGUCACUUGCUGUGUCUGAACCAGAAAGGAGAGGGGUAUAAAGAGGCAUGUCUGACCGCCCAUCCUGUCAUGGCAGGAACUCAACUUCUCUGGGUCCCCUUCACCACAAGGCAUGUCUGUUUAGUUGAUGAGGCUUAGGAUUUUAUUUUUAGUUUACAGCAGAGAGAGUUUUUCCACCCUGGGUACUGGCAAAGUUUGCUCCCUCCCUCCUCCUGGGGUCUGCAGGGGGUGGGGAGGGGCAGUGCAGGGGGCUCCAGCCCUCAGCUGCAGGCCAGGCGGACAGGGCAGGACACAGCUGCCUGAUUCCAGCCCAGCAUCAAAGCACCCACAUAGCCCAGAUCAGAGCAGAAAAAAAUGUAAAAUGACAGAAAGUUGCUUUUAUGUGAAUGCACCCAAGCCAUGUUGGAUCACUGUUUAGAAUGAUUUGGUAUUUCUUUUAUUGUUUUUUUUUUUUAUUUAGUCAGUGAUUUAAUUAUGAGAACAGCAAAUAGUGUUAAAGCUUCAUGAGGCGCCAAUAGUCCGGGAGGCCUGAAAGAGUAAAUACAAUGAUACUCUGUCAUGAAAUCUACUGAGUGCCUUGCAGCCACCGGCUCAUAGCAUUUGGCUCUGCUCCCAGAGAGGCAUAAACAAUGCAAAAACCCAUAAUUACUGUGUCAGUCACAACAUCCCUGCAGAAUACCGAGUUCCACCCCCGGCUGCUGGCUUCCUGGCAUUGGACAAGGUGCACAGCCACACCGUCCUCUGCUGGAGAGACCCCAGCGACUAGGCAGCCAUGGACACCCAGCAUUCUUAGGACUCCUGCCCAGGCCUCCAUCUCCCCCCACCCAGAGAUGACAGCAAGCACAGCCCAGCCUGCCCCAUUUCUUGCUAUUCACAGACUUCCAGGGAACUGGGGCUGUGGGCAGGUCUUCCUUCCUCAACUUCACCCAGGGGGCUCCAACUGUAAAAGAAAAUAAAACUUAGGACCCUCUGAAUGUAUUAUGCCGAGGAGGAAGGCAAGCCCUGGGGAAUGAGUCAUGUAGCAUAUUUGCAGUUUUUCUUCUUAGAUGAGAGUUUAACUCUUCCUUGUUGUUGUUCUGUAAAUGACUAAUCAUGGGUUAUUAUAGAUUAAAUGAUUAUAGAGCAAAUGUUAUAUAUUAAAUUAUAUAGAUUAAAUGAUUACCAUAAAGUCUUGUACCCAACUCAGACCAGAUGGUGUCCAAGACCUCAGCACGGUUACAGCCUUAAUGUGGAAGGUUAAAUAUACGUUUUCUGAAAGAAAAAGACCACCUCGUCUAAUCAGAUCACUAUGACUAUGCAGUAAGCCUCUCAUAGAAAGAUGUUUAAAUUCUGUUAAACUUUUUUAGGCUUUGUCUGUAUACGUGAUGUCCUGGGUGGGCCUGUCCUCAACUUUGCGCUUGAAUAAAC